CCUACGGGAGACAGCAGUGGGGAAUAUUGCACAAUGGGGGAAACCCUGAUGCAGCGACGCCGCGUGAGUGCAGAAGUAUUUCGGUACGUAAAGCUCUAUCAGCAGGGAAGAAAAUGACGGUACCUGACUAAGAAGCCCCGGCUAACUACGUGCCAGCAGCCGCGGUAAUACGUAGGGGGCAAGCGUUAUCCGGAUUUACUGGGUGUAAAGGGAGCGUAGACGGCAGCGCAAGUCUGGAGUGAAAUCCCAUGGCUUAACCAUGGAACUGCUUUGGAAACUGUGCAGCUAGAGUGCAGGAGAGGUAAGCGGAAUGCCUAGUGUAGCGGUGAAAUGCGUAGAUAUUAGGAGGAACACCAGUGGCGAAGGCGGCUUACUGGACUGUAACUGACGUUGAGGCUCGAAAGCGUGGGGAGCAAACAGGAUUAGAUACCCGGGUAGUC
rnacentral:rRNA from 1 species